GGACCCGCACAAGCGGUGGAGCAUGUGGUUUAAUUCGAUGCAACGCGAAGAACCUUACCUGGUCUUGACAUCCUGCGAACUUUCUAGAAAUAGAUUGGUGCCUUCGGGAACGCAGUGACAGGUGCUGCAUGGCUGUCGUCAGCUCGUGUCGUGAGAUGUUGGGUUAAGUCCCGUAACGAGCGCAACCCCUAUCCUUAUUUGCCAGCACAUCAUGGUGGGAACUAUAAGGAGACUGCCGGUGAUAAACCGGAGGAAGGCGGGGACGACGUCAAGUCAUCAUGGCCCUUACGACCAGGGCUACACACGUGCUACAAUGGGAAGGACAAAGAGCCGCGAAGCCGCGAGGUGUAGCUAAUCUCAUAAACCUUUUCGUAGUCCGGAUUGGAGUCUGCAACUCGACUCCAUGAAGUCGGAAUCGCUAGUAAUCG
rnacentral:rRNA from 1 species